UAGCCAGUGCACUUCUUGUGGGUCUUCAUCACGACCGGCGCUGCUGUCAGUCUGCCUUGUCUAAACCAGUUGAGCUCGGUCCUUGUGGCCUUGUUUGGCUGGGAUGGCAGGUAGCCUGUUGGUCAUUUCGGUGGCCUUCGGGUGUAAUAGCCAGACUUGGUGCGAUCUGUACAGUGUGUCGGAGACGGCGGUUGUAAUGGGUGGCGUGGAUGCCGGCUUUGUUUGGUGUAGAGUUGGUUGCCUUCUUGGUUAUCUUCUCUUUGCUGGGCUCGGUUGGUUCUUCGCGUUGCUUUUAAUGGCCGAUAGUCUGUGAUGUAUUGGUAUGCUCUCUUCCCGACC
rnacentral:rRNA from 1 species